AUUGAACGCUGGCGGAAUGCUUUACACAUGCAAGUCGAACGGCAGCACGGGGGCAACCCUGGUGGCGAGUGGCGAACGGGUGAGUAAUACAUCGGAACGUGCCCAGUCGUGGGGGAUAACGUAGCGAAAGUUACGCUAAUACCGCAUACGAUCUACGGAUGAAAGCGGGGGACCGUAAGGCCUCGCGAGAUUGGAGCGGCCGAUGUCAGAGUAUGUAGUUGGUGAGAGAAAGGCUCACUAAGACGACGAUCUGUAGCUGGUCUGAGAGGACGACCAGCCACACUGGGACUGAGACACGGCCCAGACUCCUACGGGAGGCAGCAGUGGGGAAUUUUGGACAAUGGGCGCAAGCCUGAUCCAGCCAUUCCGCGUGCAGGACGAAGGCCUUCGGGUUGUAAACUGCUUUUGUACGGAACGAAAAGGCUCUGGUUAAUACCUGGGGCUCAUGACGGUACCGCAAGAAUAAGCACCGGCUAACUACGUGCCAGCAGCCGCAGUAA
rnacentral:rRNA from 1 species